rnacentral:rRNA from 1 species
UUAGAGGAAGUAAAAGUCGUAACAAGGUUUCCGUAGGUGAACCUGCGGAAGGAUCAUUACCGAGUAAGGGCUCCCUUGUCGGGGGCCCCGACCUCUUCACCGUGCUGAAUCGGACCCUGUUGCUUCAGCGGGCUGGAGGGUGAUGCUAGCCCAUCGCCUUCCACUCCGAUGCCCGCUGGAGACCCUUUUAAUGCUGAAACGAAUGCCGUCUGAGUGGGAAUAAAAAUCUAGUCGCAAAACUUUCAACAAUGGAUCUCUUGGUUCCGGCAUCGAUGAAGAACGCAGCGAAAUGCGAUAAGUAAUGUGAAUUGCAGAAUUCCGUGAAUCAUCGAAUCUUUGAACGCAUAUUGCGCCCUCUGGUACUCCAGAGGGCAUGCCUGUCCGAGUGUCAUUGCCUCUCUCCAAGCCGAGCUUGGGUGUUGGGCUGUCGUCCCCUCCCCGGCUGCGGGGCUGGGACGGGCCUGAAAGACAACGGCGGUGUCACGGUCAAAUCUCCGAGCGUAUGGGCUUUUCCCCGCUCCAUGGGUUUGAUGGGCGCCUGCCUCCCUGCAGUGUCGACUCCAGUGGACCUCGGAUCAGGUAAGGAUACCCGCUGAACUUAAGCAUAUCAAUAA